rnacentral:rRNA from 2 species
UACGUAGGGCGCAAGCGUUGUCCGGAAUUAUUGGGCGUAAAGAGCUCGUAGGCGGUUUGUCGCGUCUGCUGUGAAAGCCCGGGGCUCAACCCCGGGUCUGCAGUGGGUACGGGCAGACUAGAGUGCAGUAGGGGAGACUGGAAUUCCUGGUGUAGCGGUGAAAUGCGCAGAUAUCAGGAGGAACACCGAUGGCGAAGGCAGGUCUCUGGGCUGUUACUGACGCUGAGGAGCGAAAGCAUGGGGAGCGAAC